AAUGGUUCGCCUGUGGGCGAUGAAAAGGGAACGGGGUGCGAGUCCCCGACAGUCCCGCUGCUGUAAUUUGCCUUGUGGGAACCCGCAAGAAAGCCACUGCCUUUGAAAGGUAACAAAGGUGGGAAGGCGCGAGUUCUUGUACCGCUUCGCUUUACAAGCGCCCUUUUGGGUCGAGCGUCAGGCAAUAAGUCAGAAGACCUGCCUUUGCGG
rnacentral:ncRNA from 1 species